rnacentral:rRNA from 1 species
GACGAACGCUGGCGGCGUGCUUAACACAUGCAAGUCGAACGGAAAGGCCCUGCUUUUGUGGGGUGCUCGAGUGGCGAACGGGUGAGUAACACGUGAGUAACCUGCCCUUGACUUUGGGAUAAAUUCAGGAAACUGGGGCUAAUACCGGAUAGGAGCUCCUGCUGCAUGGUGGGGGUUGGAAAGUUUCGGCGGUUUGGGAUGGACUCGCGGCUUAUCAGCUUGUUGGUGGGGUAGGUGCUUACCAAGGGUUUGACGGGUAGCCGGCCUUGGAGGGGGACCGGGGUCCAGGGUCCUGCGGGACGGACCAGGAGGCUACCGGGGGCAACGGGUGGGAAUUUUACGGAACGGGGCGGAGCCAGAUACAAGAACCUCCGGUUCGGGAAGCCCGGCUUCUGGGUGGAAACCGCUGUGUGCUUGACUAUACCCGUGGUGACGGUAAUUGGUCAAGAAGCACCGGCUAACUACGUG